UACCUCAGACGAUCUCGGGACGCCGAGAGAGAAGGCAGCUGGGCCUGGGAGCCAUUCUGAAGGCCUGGGUCGGAAGAAAGAAAGAAAGAAAGAAAGAAAGAAAGAAAGAAAGAAAGAAAGAAAGAAAGAAAGGGCAGCGGCUCUCCUCAGGCCACUCACAGCCAGGCUCCGUUUCUGAAGCAGAAAUGGCAAAGCCUUGUGAAACGGACGGAAGAAAUAAAGGCAAAAUUUUUGAAAAUUUCCACAGCUUUUUCUGAAGGGACCAGCGCUGAAUUCAAGUCAACGUGAAGAAAGAAACAAAAGGUCAAGAGACAGAGGACGGAAGAUGCUUGAAGACACCCUCGCAAGGACACCGCCUGCCUCCCAAAAAAGGUCGUUUUCAGGGUAAUUGGUGUAAGGGUAGGCAUUUAAUGUCUAUCUUUGCAUUAAAAAAAGGGUUACCUUUGCACACGGUUCCCCUCGCGUGUGGCAUCGAAGAAGUCCCACUCGGGAACGGACGGGUCCUCCCUUUGUUCUAGGCAGAUGAUGGGUCUUCCUAUACGGGCCGUAGGGGUCACAGCUUGGGGGUCAGCGGGGGGCCCGCCCUGGCAUCGCGGGGGGCAGCACACGUUACGGGCAUUUUAAGAUGUCCUUGCAACUUAGAAAUAAAAAUAUUAAUACCUUAACUCACUUACUAACAUCCUACUAACACCAUUCUAAAUAGGGUACCCUGGCCUUUUAAAUAGGACUGUGUUCUGCCUGAUGGCAAGAACCAAGCUGGGAAGGGAGGGGGCCUCCUGGCCCCCCAUAAAAGGGCCCCCAUGGAAGGACAUUGCAAAAGGCCCCUAAGGUGUCCUGAGAGCAGCCUCUUGGUCCUUAGUGUGUUCCCCACGGUGCCAGGUCUGGGCCCCUUGCUCUCCCCCAACCCAUGGACCCUGCCGCUUGUAUAUCAUCCGUCCAGGGCCAACGGACGCCCCCUCCCUCCCCGGGCGGAGCUUCGAGGCCACACUCAAGGGGAGACCAGAGCCGUGUGCCUCAUGCCAACGCCUAGCACGUGGCGAACCUUUUUUUUUACUGCAAACAUAGGCAUCAUGAUUGUGAUUUUUGUUAAUUCCUUUUAAAUUUAAUUGUUUGUAUUUGAUAGCAUGGUAGGCUGGUUUUAUAUCAGUGAGCCGCCCCGAGUCCCUCUGGGGAGACGGUGGCAGGGUACAAAAAUAAAAUUAUUAUUAUUAUUAUUAUUAUUGAUUCGAGGCACCUGGAAAAAGAAAUACCAGGAAGCAGAUAAAAUUAUUAUUUUUAUUAUUGAUUACAGGCACCUGGAAAAAGAAAUACCAGGAAGCAGAUAAAAUUAUUAUUAUUAUUAUUAUUAUUAUUAUUAUUAUUAUUGUUAUUAUUAUUGAUUCCAGGAAAAAGAAAUACCAGGAAGCAGAUAAAAUUAUUAUUAUUGUUGUUGUUGUUGUUAUUAUGUAGGACCCCCUUUUAUUUAUGUAAGGCCACACACCCAGGGGACCACUAUUCCUAAUUAAAGCCUGGUUAAAGGGGAUCCUCUAUUCUUAAAGUUAGGCGUAUAGAGAUCUCCUAUCCAGAAACUAACGCGGCCUGCCCUAUAGAGAUCUGUUAAACCAAGGCGGCCUGCCCUAUAGAGAUCUCCUAUUUAACGUAACACCAGGCAAUAUGGAGAUCCCUGGUUUUUUUAACCGUUAAAUCCCUUACGUGGGGAGAUCCCUGGUUAUUUUAACUGUUAAGUCCCUUACGUGGGGAGAUCCCUGGUUAUUUUAACCGUUAAGUCCCUUAUGUGGGGAGAUCCCUGGUUAUUUUAACCGUUAAAUCCCUUAUGUGGGGAGAUCCCUGGUUAUUUUAACCGUUAAAUCCCUUACGUGGGGAGAUCCCUGGUUAUUUUAACCUUUAAGUCCCUUACGUGGGGAAAUCCCUGGUUUUUUUAACCUUUAAGGCCAGAUGUGGGGAUUUCCUUGCUUCUUUUAACCCGUGAGGCCAGCCAUGGGGAGAUAUCUUAGGCUGUUUUCAUGAAAAGUCAGGUAUAGACGCACUGUUUUCUCUCCCGUUCCAUGUGCCUGGACUCCCGGAGGGCUCCUGCCGGACACCGUCUCCCAUCGGCCGAGAGGGAUCCUUCCUGUCUGGGAAGGAUCUGCAACACAGGUAAAAAGAAGAUUCCGGGAAGGAGAUUCUACAGCGGAGCCCUUAAGCCAGGUGAGACACUCCUUCCAGCCUCCACGGCUGCCUUGCACACACGACACACACAAACACACAUGACACACACAAACACAUACACAUGUACAGCUGGUGCCCACGGGGACUCUUCCCCAAUAGAUUGGGGACUCCCACUCCGGCAGUUUGGGGCUUCCGGCCAAGCGCUUGCAAAGAGAAUCCAUUCAAGGUUGGACCCCCUUUUAAAGGGCCUGGCACGUGGUAUUUAUUCCUGGCACGUGGAAAACUCCAUUUGUAAGGCAAACCCUCGUUAAAGGAGGUUUGCAAUUAGUUUAAAACCAGGCUUCUGAGGGACCCGCUGCGUUUAAAGCCAAACCUAGCAGGUGGGAACCCCUUUGGUUAACGUAAGGCAAGGGACCCUCCCUAUUUAAUAAGAUGCCUGGCAGAAUCUUAACCUAAAAGCAGGCCUAUGGGCUACAGCCUAUUCUGCAUAGCCAGGCAUGGGGGGACCCCAGAUUAUUAACUUGAGGCCUGGGAAAAGGAGAUUUUUGUAUUUAUUUAUUUAUUUAUUACAAUAUUUAUAUCCGGCCCUCUCUCCCCUUAAAAGGGGACUCAGAGCGGCUUACAAGUGAUAUUUACAUAUUGAUUUAUUACAAUAUUUAUAUCCCGCCCUCUCUCCCCUUAAAAGGGGACUCAGAGCGGCUUACAAGUGAUAUUUACAUAUUUAUUUAUUACAAUAUUUAUAUCCCGCCCUCUCUCCCCUUAAAAGGGGACUCAGAGCGGCUUACUAGUUAUAUUUACAUAUUUAUUUAUUACAAUAUUUAUAUCCUGCCCUCUCUCCCCUUAAAAGGGGACUCAGAGCGGCUUACUAGUUAUAUUUACAUAUUUAUUUAUUACAAUAUUUAUAUCCUGCCCUUCUCACCCAACAGGGGACUCAGGGCGGCUUAACAGUAAGACGCAUAUAUAAAAAAACAUACACUGCAAUAUAAAUCAUCAUUAACUUACAUCAGUAUUCAUAAAACACAUUAUAAAAUACAGAUAGGUGUGUUCAGUCCAAAUCCAUUCAAGGUAUACGUGGACCCCCUUUUAAUGCCAACCUUUCCACGUGGAAAACUCUAUUUGUAAGGCAAACCCUCGUUAAAGGAGGUUUGCAAUUAAUUUUAAACCAGGCUUCUGAGGGACCCGCUGCGUUUACAGCCAAACCUAGCAGGUGGGAACCCCUUUGGUUAACGCAAGGUGAGGGACCCUCCAUAUUUAAUAAGAUGCCUGGCAGAAUCUUAACCUAAAAGCAGGCCUAUGGGAUACAGCCUCUUCUGCAUAGCCAGGCAUGGGGGGACCCCAUAUGAUGAAUUUGAAGCCUGGGAAAAGGAGAUUUAUGUAUUUAUUAAUUUAUUACAUUUAUAUCCGGCCCUCUCUCCCCUUAAAAGGGGACUCAGAGCGGCUUAUGAGUUAUAUUUACAUAUUUAUUUAUUACAAUAUUUAUAUCCCGCCCUCUCUCCCCUUAAAAGGGGACUCAGAGCGGCUUAUGAGUUAUAUUUACAUAUUUAUUUAUUUAUUACAAUAUUUAUAUCCCGCCCUUUCUCCCCUUAAAAGGGGACUCAGAGCGGCUUACAAGUGAUAUUUACAUUUUUAUUCAUUACAUUAUUUAUAUCCCGCCCUUCUCACCCAACAGGGGACUCAGGGCGGCUUAACAAUAAGACGCAUAUAUAAAAAACCAUACAGUGCAAUAUAAAUCAUCAUUAACUUACAUCAGUAUUCAUAAAACACAUCAUAAAAUACAGAUAGGUGUAUUACAUACACUGUAUCAUUAGCAUCGCACAAUAUUAGCAUUAUAUAUUACUACAUUGCAUUAUACCACUAUACAGAAACAUUAUUAGCAAUAUUACAUUUAAUAUAUAAUAUGUAAUUCAUAUUAUUAUAUUGUAUCAUUGUUAGUAUUAUCUUGCAUUAUUUAUUUAUUUGCUAGAUGUAUAUGCUGCCCUUCUCACCCCCAAGGUGAACAGCUUACAAAAUAAAUUUACAUACAAUAUUAUAUUAUUACCAUAGUACAAUACUGGCAGUAAAUAACUAUAUUGUACUAUAUGAAUAUAUGGUAAUAUUAGUAGUAGUAUUACAUGCAAAAUGUAAUACAUAUUUAAUAUUAUAUUUUAUUAUUAGUAUAUCGUAUUACAAUAUAAUAUUAUGAACAUUAUAUGUAUAUGCAAUAUGUUAUAAUUAUAUAUUAAAUUAUAUAUAUAUAUAUAUAUAUAUAUAUAUACACAUACACACACACACACACACACACACAUACACACACACACACACACACACACACACACACACACACACACAGAGUAGAGUCACUUAUCCAACACAAAUGGGCCAGCGAAUAUUUAUUUAUUUAUUUACAGCAUUUUUCCGGGCAGGCCUUGAACUCAUGACCUCCUGGUCAGAGUGAUUUGUUGAUAUUUAUUAUUUAUUUACAGCAUUUAUAUUCCGCCCUUCCUUCUCACCCCGAAGGGGACUCAGGGCGGAUCACAUGACACAUAUAGGCAAACAUUCAAUGCCUUUUAACAUAGAACAAAGACAAAUAAACAGGCUCCGAGCCGGCCUCGAACUCGUGACCUCCUGGUCAGAGUGAUUCAUUGCAGUUAAUUGCAGCUGGCUUGCUUUCCAGCCUGCGCUGUUGGAUAAUAAGGAGGCAUUAUGGAAAAGCCUAUUAAACAUCAAAUUAGUUGAUGAUUUUACAAAUUAAGCACCAAAACAUCAUUUGACAGAAAAAGUAGUUCAAUAUGCAGUAAUGCUAUGUAGUAAUUACUGUAUUUACGGAUAUAGCACCAAAAUAUCACGACGCAUUGAAAACAUGGACUACAAAAAUGCGUUGGAUAAUCCAGAAUGUUGGAUAAGAGAGUGUUGGAUAAGUGAGACUCUACUGUAUAUACAAUAUAAAUUAGAAUAGCAUGUUAUUGGGGGAGGAGCAUCUUGGGUAUUAGAUGUUUAUAUUAGUUAUUGAUAUUAGUAUAGAUAUGACAUUGAGUAUAUUAUUACCCUAGCACAAUGUUAAUAUUAAUUAUUCAUAUUAGUCUCAAUAUGACAUUAAUAGAGUACAUUAUUAUCCUAGCACAAUGUUAUUAGAUGUUAAUAUUAGUUAUUGAUAUUAGUAUAGACAUGACAUUAAUAGAGUAUAUUAUUAUCCUAGUACAACGUUCUUACAUAGGACCAUGUUGUUGCUAGGGGGAGGGCCCCCCAAUGAUUGUAUUAUUAGUAUUAUGUUGUUGCCAGGGGGAGGGAGGGCCCCCCCAACUGAGAUCCCCUGUCAUUAAUGUGUCAGACCAGGCAUUUCACUCCUAUCUUUGCAUCAGAAAGCAGGCUCCCUGUGCGCUAGGCCUUCCUUUGAGGAACACAUUCACGGCUCCGCUUGAGUGUGGCAUUGAGGCCCCACUCGGGGACGGGCGGGUCCUCCCUUUGCCCUGGGCAGAUCGUGGGGGGUGGGCGGGCGGAUCUCCCUAGACGGGCAGGGGGUCGCGGCUGGCGGGACAGCGGGAUAUAAAAAUAUAAAUAUACAUAUUAAAACCCUUGCACCCAAGGAAACAACUCUGGGGACCCGAGCGGCCGCUCCCAGCUCACGUCACGGGCAUUUUAAACAUCUCGUCGCAGCUCAGAUUAAUACCUGAACUAACCUUAACCUGCUAACCCUACUAACCCAUUUCUUAACUAGAGCAGGAAUUUUAAAUAGGGCUGUUUUUGCCUGUUGGCAAGAACCAAGCUGGGAGGGGGCCUCCGGGCCUCGGGUGGGAAGAACCCUAACCCUGUCCCUGCCCUGCGCUGGGAGCGCCCCCCCUCGGGACCCCAGUGUUUGGGCCCCGCUCUCCCCCAAUCCGACGGCCUAGAAAGCCCCUCCGCCAUCCGCCCAGGGCCAACGGACAGCCCUCCCUCCCCGGCAGCCGCGUUCCUCAUGCAACAGGGAGCCUGGUUCUGGAUGCAAACGUGGGACCCCCUUAGGACCCCCUUUUCUCUGUGCAGGGACCCCCGCUCCCCAUACAUAAAUGCCUGGUGGAAGGAAGGGGAUCCUAGUAGAAAAAGCCACAGUUCCCAAGAGCCCCCCAAAGCGAGAUGCUCCCUUGGUCCAGCCCUUCUGACCCUUGUUCUCUCCCUUGUUCUAUGUCUCCGGAAUCGCCGAGGGGGGGAGGGAGGGAGGGGCUCCUCCUGGACAAGAGCCAAGGACGGACAGAUGGACGGACGGACGGACGGACGGAAGGAGAUCCCAGAGAGCAGGACGCCCGGCCUUUCCGGAUGCUGAGCUCGACCCCUUUCCAACAAUGUCAGCGUUCCAGAAUAAAACUCUUCCCAAAAAAAGGUGUUUUCUGGUUAUUAUUCAAAUGUUUAAUUUUUGACAGCCUUAAACAUCUAGAUUACAAUACAGUUUGUGCUGCUGCCUUUUAUAAACCUUGUUUUCUACAAAUAAAGUCGAGAGAAACACCUGUGUAAGUUUUGCACUCAUUGUUCUGAUAUUCUGUUAUAUGGUUUUAUUGUAAAUAUUGUUUUUAAUGUAUGACUUUAUGACAUGUGACAUGGGAGCGGGAUAUAAAAAUAAAGUAUUAUCAAUAAACACAAUUUCCUUGCACCCCAAGUACAUCUGGCCAUUGCCAAAGAGUAUCUAACUCUGCCUACAUGGCACUAAAGUGUAUUUAUAGGUUGAUUUGUUUCUAUUGAUUGUAUGUAAUGUUUGCUUUAUUUGCAUUGAAUUUUUGCCUAGAUGUUUCUUGUAUGCUGCUCAUCUCCAUAAAUGAGCGGGAUACAAAUGAGGUUAAUAAUGAUGAUUUUACGAAUGUUUUAAUGUCACUGAGUUUUAAAUUGAAUUCAAAUAUCAUUGUCAUUGUUUAUAUGUGUGUUUUCUAUUUGUAAGCCAGCCUGAGUCUCCUCUUGGGAAGAAAUACUGUCAUAAAUAAAAUAUUCUGUGUCCA